rnacentral:sRNA from 1 species
UUUUGGUUUUUUUUUUUUCUUGUUGG